rnacentral:lncRNA from 1 species
ACGUUGGAUGAAGUAAGGUUUAUUCCAUAUAGUUCAGGAAAGCAAAUACCUCUCCAACUUGUCGUUAAGGUCAACUUGCCAUUCCAAGCAACCAGUUUUUCUUUUAUUCUGGGGAAAUAUACAAAACUGAAAAUUUACAUUUUAGCCAUUUUUCAGUGUAGUUCUAGUGGCAUUAAAUACCCUUAUAUUGUUUUUCAGCCAUCACCACCAUCCAUCUCCACAACUUUUUUCAUCUUCUCAAACUGAGGCUCUGUCCUUUAAACACUAACUCCUCAUUCUUUUCUCUUCCCAGCUCUAGCAACCAUUAUUCUACUUUCUGUGUCUAUGAAUUGACUGCUAUAGGUACCUAGAAUCCACUAAAAUGGAAUCCCCAGUUAUUUUAAUUUUGGCUCCUGUUGAAACUUCUUUUCCCUUUUGCAUCCAGAUGCUCUGUUGAAGUUUAAUUUAUAUCUUUUCUAACCACCCCAGUAAUUUCAUUUCCUUUUGAAGUCUU